CCAAUAGCGUAUAUUAAAGUUGCUGCAGUUAAAAAGCUCGUAGUUGAAUUUCGGGACUAAUAUGUCGGUCGUGCCUCGGUACGUACUGGCUUAUUGGUUUCUCCUUUCUGAAGAACCAUGAUGUCAUUUAUUUGGUGUCGUGGGGAAUCAGGACUGUUACUUUGAAAAAAUUAGAGUGUUUAAAGCAGGCUCACGCUUGAAUACAUUAGCAUGGGAUAAUGAAAUAGGACGUUUGAUUCUAUUUUGUUGGUUUCUAGGAUCGACGUAAUGAUUAAUAGGGAUAGUUGGGGGCAUUAGUAUUCAAUUGUCAGAGGUGAAAUUCUUGGAUUUAUUGAAGACUAACUACUGCGAAAGCAUUUGCCAAGGAUGUUUUCAUUAAUCAAGAACGAAAGUUAGGGGAUCGAAGACGAUCAGAUACCGUCGUAGUCUUAACCAUAAACUAUGCCGACUAGGGAUCGGAUGAUGUUAAUUUUUUAAUGACUCAUUCGGCGCCUUACG
rnacentral:rRNA from 1 species